ensembl:miRNA
UGGUGACCCCUGGGCCAGGGCCUGCUGCCCCCUGCCCAGUGCAGGAGGGUGGAGGGUCACUCCUUAGGUGGUCCCAGUG